rnacentral:rRNA from 1 species
GAGUUUGAUCCUGGCUCAGGACGAACGCUGGCGGCGUGCCUAAUACAUGCAAGUCGAACGCUUCUUUUUCCACCGGAGCUUGCUCCACCGGAAAAAGAGGAGUGGCGAACGGGUGAGUAACACGUGGGUAACCUGCCCAUCAGAAGGGGAUAACACUUGGAAACGAUAGCUAAUACCGCAUAACAGCUUUUGACACAUGUUAGAAGCUUGAAAGAUGCAAUUGCAUCACUACGAGAUGGACCUGCGUUGUAUUAGCUAGUAGGUAGGGUAAAGGCCCACCAAGGCGACGAUCAGUAGCCGGUCUGAGAGGAUGAACGGCCACAUUGGGACUGAGACACGGCCCAGACUCCUACGGGAGGCAGCAGUAGGGGAUCUUCCACAAUGGACGAAAGUCUGAUGGAGCAACGCCGCGUGAGUGAAGAAGGGUUUCGGCUCGUAAAGCUCUGUUGGUAGUGAAGAAGAUAGAGGUAGUAACUGGCCUUAUUGACGGUAAUUACUUAGAAAGUCACGGCUAACUACGUGCC